GUGGUUGUGGCUCAGUGGUAGAGUGCUUGCCUGGCAUGUGGGAGGCCCUGGGUUCAAUCCUCAGGAUCACA
rnacentral:tRNA from 1 species